UACGUAGGGUCCGAGCGUUGUCCGGAAUUAUUGGGCGUAAAGAGCUCGUAGGCGGUUUGUCGCGUCUGCUGUGAAAUCCCGAGGCUCAACCUCGGGCCUGCAGUGGGUACGGGCAGACUGGAGUGCGGUAGGGGAGAAUGGAAUUCCUGGUGUAGUGGUGGAAUGCGCAGAUAUCAGGAGGAACACCGAUGGCGAAGGCAGUUCUCUGGGCCGUAACUGACGCUGAGGAGCGAAAGCGUGGGGAGCGAACAGG
rnacentral:rRNA from 1 species